CAAUCGGCGCGUAGAUGAGUCGUGUCACCCCGCCCGUGGCCGGGCCAAUUUUCUCGCGCGACACGCGGAAGUCUCUCGUUUUGCCAUCCGCUCGGAUCAUCGUCGCGCUCCUCCUCUCGCGCGUCCCUUCUCGACGGUGGUGCGGCGAGAACCGGAACGUGCCGUCGCACUCCGGAAGUUUCGCGAAUCGUGUCGAAAGUCGCCGGAGAAGUCGCGACGCCGCCGCUCAUCUCCGCGCGAGUGAAAACGGAGCGGCGGAGUGACGGUGUGACCGACGACGGAGUGACUUCGGACCGGAAGCGCAAAGACGACGACGACGACGACGAAUCGCGCUAGGAUGAGAACGAGGAAACUCAAGCGAAACAAUUCGUGUGGGUAUCUGGACAGUAGCGGAGAGCUCGGUGAAAACUCUGUCGUGCGUAAAACUUAGGGUUGCCAUAUGUCCUACUUCUCGUUGAGCAGUCCUGCAUACUCCGUGCAUAUCUAUCACGCGACCACGUUUAAAUAUCCUUUGAAGAUAAAAAGUCUAAUUUUAUAUGGAAUGUGCGGUGAGCGACGACAAACACAUAUUUAAAAAUACAUCCUUUUACUCUGCUUCUUCCUUCCGAUUACAUAUGUUUCUAAUGCCUUUUAAUAUGAUGGCAAUCCUAAGUAAAACGUAAAGCCGCGCCGCGAUAACGUUCGUGUUCGCGAGUACGUAACGAUACAUAAUUUUCGGAAAUGGUCCUCGAUAAUCUCACCGUGAUGUCAAUCGUCGACGAGUUAGUAGACGACGUCCCGUCGAACGGCACCAACAUGACUGAUUUUCCCGAUUACGACAUCAACGAUUCCUUCAGUCAUUUCGAAUGGGGGGAACUAGCGCCUGUCCUGGUAGUCUACACCUUGACUUUCUUCCUCGGAUUAAUCGGAAACGUCGUUAUCAUCGCUUCAACCCUUUGCCGGCUCAGGCCGUUACCGGCGACACCGACGAAUGUUUUUCUGGGCGGUCUGGCCACGGCUGAUCUUCUGUUAAUCAUAUUCUGCAUACCGGUGAAGAUAGCGAAGCUGUUCUCCUACACGUGGACCAUGGGUAUCUUCCUGUGCAAAGCGGUGCAUUACAUGCAGAGCGUGUCGGCUAUCUGCUCGGUCGUCACCCUCACUGCGAUGUCGAUCGAAAGGUAUUACGCGAUAGUACAUCCAAUGAGAGCGCAGUACAUGUGCACCAUAAGCCAAGCUCGUAGGAUUGUGAUCAUAACUUGGAUCGCCGCAUUUCUGCUGGGAAUACCAAUGAUGUUUACACAGACACACAAGAAGGUCGGGCUGAGGUGGAUCGCCUACUGGUGCGUUCGCGAUUCCGAGGCCGGACUCCUGUGGCGGGCUCACGAAGUCUACAUGCUCGUCGUAGUUCUCGUACUUCCGCUGAUCAUCAUGGCGUUCUGCUAUACGAGCAUCUGCUGGGAAAUCUGGCGCGUUAUGAAGCGCCGGUAUCACAUGACGUCGCGACACGCAUUAAAUCCAAACAGCGCUGUAGAUACGGAAUCUAUUCCCAUGACGCAGCGACAGGGCGGAAAUGAACGCAAACGACGGGACGAGAAAGACGAAGAAUCACGAACCAUGAAGCAGGUGGUGAAGAUGCUGGUGGCGGUCGUGGUGCUGUUCGCCAUUUGUUGGGCCCCGAUGCUUGUUGACAAUGUGCUGACCGCUUACGGCUUCCUGCCGCGCAUCAAGGGUGGAAUGCACAAGCAUCUCAAUACCGCGUUCCAGCUGAUGGCCUAUUUUAACAGCUGUAUAAACCCGAUAGUUUACGGGUUUAUGUCGAAGCACUUCAGGGAGAACUUCCUGUCGGCCGCCUGCGGCGGAUGGUGGAUUUGCUGCCCCAGAAGAGGCUACCGGGCGUCAGUAACGAGGAAUCCAAGUCUCAGCCAGACCAGGACCACCAGCGUGAGGUGGAUCCGAAACUCCUUCGGGGAGUCAAAGUCCCGAAACUCGAGCGGCCCGCACCCGUGACACGCUCGCAAGUCCCCGGUAAGCGGGCGUGCCCCCUGGCAGCGAGAGACCCCCCGAAAGUCCAUGUGCAUGUGCGACGAAUGUCCGGCUAGGGUAGACGAAUGGAAGCACGAAUUCGAUCGAGAUGGACCUGAUUCUUCCUUCAUCCCCGGACCAGGCCGUCAAGGGAGGUCUCCGUCAGAUAGGACACUUCCGACAGUGUGACGUGAAUAAAGUCGGGAGAGAACGCGAUUACGGGACGCGGCGUAGAUGAGAUACGGCACACACCGAUCAUUCGGCCACCUAUAAUACGAACGGCUGUUUCGAGCAGCCGAUCGAACGCAAAAGUAAACUUUCGUGAACUGACUAGUGGGUUGAGACCGAUCCCGCUGGGCGAUCUCCCAUCUGUAGGUAACGUAAGUUGCCGAACAGGCUCAUCAUCUAUUUAUCACCUUCCCCCCCGUCGCACCUUGUAACGACAGCGUUAUCGCUCACUCGUCCCCCCUCCCCCCUCUCGUGGGCGGGAUAAUUGGACGGGUUGAUUAAUUGGACAUUCGGACAAUUGGAAGUUUAACGGUACAGUUAAAGCCACGCUAGGUGGGCGGAUAAGGGUCAAGCGAGUGGGCACCCACAGUGGCCACAUACAGUGUAAUGGGGCCAUAAAUACACGCCGUAUGAGCUUGAAAUCGCCCGAUUUAGAAAUCCCGCCGAUAUCUCGUCGAGAUAGACGAGCUGAAGUUAGGUGCGCUCGGUGCAGGGCCAUUAAAAGGGACGCUCGCUCGAAAAGUUUUCCCCCGGUGUCGAUAUGUUUAAUGUUAAAUCUCGAAAUGUUGACAUACGUGUCUCCCUUUAAUUCACAAGAGAACUGCAGUUCCAAGAAUAAUGUAAGAAUGAUGUAGGAAGUAUGAGAACAAAAUACUCGCCCGCCGUUUCGUUCGGCGGCGCUAUAUAUACAGAUGCUCUGUCCCGAUCUCAAGAGAAUUCGUUCUCCUCUCCUCUCCGUGUAUAACAUUCGCUACCUCAGCAAUAUACUUGAGACUGGACAGUGCACGUUCAAGUCGCGCUCGAAACGCUAUCGAUCUGAUUCUCUUCCCAGUAUUUGCGCUAAAUAAGAACGUUUUCGCGUUGAAACCAAAGAAAAUGUAGAAACUUACAAUGGCUAUAUUUGUCGGUAAACACACCGCAUCGCGGAAGUACGGACCAAAGUGCGCCGAUUUCGUAGAGAAGUUCGUUUCGACGAACGCUCCGCAAAUGUUUCGGAGAUACGGUUCCAAGAAAAGACGCGAUAAACAAUUAGGCAAUUCCUCAGGAAACGACGUUUGCGCCGGGGCGAGUAUUUCUCACGGCGAGUUUUCUGCGGUGAGGGAUAUGUAUAAUGAAAUUAAGCUAUACCAGAUGUUCAGAUGUCACACUUGUGUAUUUGUAACUUUCUUGACGUCACAAACAAUUAGAUCUGAAGCCAUGGCGACGACGAUUUCUUUGAGUAUUCGGGAACGAGUAUGGCAUAUCAUUUGAGACUCCGAGCCAUGUGCUGGAAACGUAAUCUCAUUAUAAUUGUAACUAGAUAGUUAGCUUAUUUAUCAGCUAUGCUGGCAGAGCAAACUUUAGAUGAGUAAUCUCGGUUUGUUACUCAGGAGGAUAUUGCAUUUUCUCUUCUUUUUUUUUCGCGCUCUCACCUUUCUCGAUCUAAUUAAAAUGUUAUAAGGCUAUGAUUCUAUCUAUUAUUAUUAAUAAUAUCUAUUAUUAUUGACACAGUAAUAUUAGUGGUAAAACAAUAAUGUAAUAAUACAGGCUAGUGUAUUAAAAGACUUUUUAAUGUACAACUCUAACUGUAAGCGGGACCCAUCCCGGCGGUGAACGCAGGCGGGCUUUCCGAUAAGUAUAAGUCACUUUGUUUAAAAGAAAAAAACUGGGGAAACCAAGUCGCUAUUAAAUGUAUAUAAGAUACGUAAAUAAGUAAAUGAAUAUUAUUUAGCUGCUUUAGAGUUGACGAACGUGACAUCACGCGAUUUUAGCGAUUCUGUGCUUGUCGAUGAAGUAAACGUUAAGUGCCAUAAGGAUGUAAAAGUUUUGAGUCGAUAUGAAAAAGAAAAGAAUGAAAGAUAUUAAACGCGCGAUUAGUCUACGACAUUUAUAGUAUAAUGUCGUAUGGUAUAAAAUUAGCAUCAUUUGCAUAGUGUGUACCAGCUUCCGUCGUUCUGUGUGUUUGAAUAAAAGAAUGAGAAUCACAAAUAAGUACGUAUGUUAUAGAUAGAUAUUGGUAAGAAAGCUUUGAAAUAAUUAUAUUACAUACCAAAGUACAACUUUUGGGCAUUGAAAUUUUUUCGACAUUAUUCAAAGGAUUCAAUUAAUAUCGCAUAUAAUUUCCAUUAUACUGUCGUCCUCCUUUCGUUAAACGCAUGUAGCAAAGACUCUUUUUCUAUCGAAUCGUUUUAACAGACUGAAUCAACAGCGUAGAGGUAGUUUAAUUGUCGGAACCAUCGAAGAAUAACGGUAUUAAAUGGCAACUUUAGCUAUUAAGAUACUUGCUGUAUUUGAUGUAUUAUCAGUAACGAUAAUGAUAUAAUGACCAGUCUACCGACGAACUGUAAUGAGAUAUGUAAAGCCAUCCUUUCAUCUGCCAAAGAUUACAAUUAAUCGCAAGAUUGAUAUCUAUAAUUUAACUAUUAUAACUACAUAUUUAGUUGCAGGAAAAUUCAAUUUAAAGCUUAAAAGAAAUCAAAGGAGAAUAAAUUUUACUGCAAUAUAAUUUUAUUUUAA